UAACAAGACAGGCGUCAGAACACACUCACCGCCCUGCAGCAGCACGCCCGAAGGCCGGCGGACACACGCACUCACACUCUGCAACAAAGGCACACAACAUGUCAUUCACGGAGCGGAGGUUCGCGUCCUGGAGCAAACCUUCCCUCGCCCCGCGGCCCGAGUCAUCGCCCGACGGACUGACGCCCCGCGGCGCUCCCUCCCUCUCGUCCCGCCACAGCCUGCCUCCUCGUCCUCCGUUCUGUUCUGCUGCUCCUCCCUCGUCACAGCCGAGCCCCGCGCGGCGGCCAGGCGGCCCGGCGCGAUGCGGCCACGUGCCCCGACGCAACGCAAUGCUCGCGACAAAACGAGACCGCCGCGCCGCCUGCCAGGCCUCCUGCACACAGACCCGGCUGGCGGCGACGUGCGCGGCGCGGCCCUGCCACUGAGGAACACAAAGAGUAAACAAAAACCAAACACAGGUCAGGCAGCGAGUGCCACACGAGGGUCAGGGGGCCGUGGAGGCACAGGAAGCCGGGACAGGCCGGGAAGGCCGCGGAAGGAUCAAGGCAGGGCACGGGGCAGUGGUGGUGAUGGUGGUGGUGGUGGACCCAAGGCAGGCCGGAGUAGGCCAAGGAAGGCACUGGUGCCAGGACAGGCCGGGAAGGCCGCGGAAGGAUCAAGGCAGGGCUUGGGAGGCUGUGAUGGUGGUGGUGGUGGACCCAAGGCAGGCCGGAGUAGGCCAAGGAAGGCACUGGAUGCCGCGGGGUGUGGGAGGAAGGUCACGAGGCUGUGGAGGGCUCUGGGAAGGCCGGAGUAGGCCGGGGUAGGCUCUGGAGGCCACGGGAGGAUCGAGGGCAGGUGUCGGGAGGCUGUGGUGGGUGAGGUAGGCCGGAGUGGGUCGAGGAGCCCUGCAGGCUGGAGGGCCAGGGGCGCAGGGCGGGGACCUUGGGGGGCGGAAAGGGGCGGACAGCCGAGGACAGGCAGCAAGAGGCGACAAACACACACACACACACACACAGGCACGUCAGUUAGUCAGUCAGCGGUCAGCAGCACGGACAGAGGCGGGACAGGCGGUCAGCUAAGUUAGUUAAGUUUGUCGACUGUCUUGUCUGUUCAUGAGUCUGUUAGGAGCACGUCAGCAGCUAUUACGGCGCUGUCUUGGUCUGUGCAACAAUCUACGUCACCUCUAACACACACACACACACACACACACACACACACACACAGACACACACAGUAAGAAUGUACUAUAUCGUCACAUCUAGUCUGUCCGUCUAUACACACACACACACACACACACACACACAGGUAGUAAUGCUUCAUCAUGACAAAGUUCAUUACAGAGACACACCUGGGAACACCUGGCCGACUUAAUCAACGCUGCCCCGCACACAGGUACAAUGAGGAGGGAUCACACGUGUUUGAAAUUUCUGACGUUAAUACUUGACUGAAAAUAUUAAAUAGGAACCGUGAGGCGAAUAGAAACUAAUAAAGAAUAAUGAUAAAAUGAGGAAUGGCAAUUAGAAUGAUGUGCUGUUAUCUUCGGCGUUACUAUAAAGACAAGAACAGCGAUGGGAACAAAGGAGUGCAAUAGGUCCCUCGCAAAGCAACAAACAAGAGAAAAUUGAAUUCCAUAAAAAAAUUUUAAAAAAUCCUUCACUAAAAUUCAACUUCUUAUUUAUUUAACUUUCUUUUCCCUCUUUUACAUUCACAUUCGCAACACAAGACUAAUCAAUGACUCAGGUGGAACAGGAAUGACUGGGGGGCACGAGGGGGCGCGGAGUGGGAGUGAGGGGGGGGGGGGGGGCGGUCAGCACGCGUCAAGAUCAGGUGUUCCAGGUAUCGUCUCAACACUACAGAAAUAUUAGUAUCUCAGGUUAAGAGGAAAGAGGAGGAGGAGGAGGAGGCGGCGGGGAGGUUGUAGGAGAAGAUUGGAUAAAUUAGGACAGAUAGAUAGAUAGAUAGAUAGACAGAUAGAUAGAGAGAGAGAGAGAGAGAGAGAGAGAGAGAGAGAGAGAGAGAGAGAGACGAAAGGAGAGACUGAAGAAGAGGAAGAGAAGGAGAAAAGAAAGAGCUGAAGGAAGGAAUUAGAACAGAAAAAGGGAUAAACAGAACAAGAAACGAAGAGGAGAGAGAGGUGGAGGAAGAGGGAAGGAAGGGAGGAAACGCUGAAGAGAGGAGGAGAGGAAGAGAGGAAGGAAAAGAUGUACAAAGGAAAGGAGGAAAAGGGAACAAAAAGGAUGGAAGGGAGGAAUAAGACAACGUAGGAAUAAAUAAAGGAAUAAGGUCACAAAGGAAGGAGAGAAAGAGAGAAUUACCGAAGGGAGGAAGAAAAGGGAACGAAGAAGAACGGAAGACCAGAACAAGAGAACGUAGGAAUACAUAAAGGAAUGAGGUCACAAAGGAAGGGAGGAAAAGGAACGAGAGAAAGAGAGAAUUACCGAAGGGAGGAAGGAAGGAAAGGGGAAGAAAAGGGAACGAAGAAGAACGGAAGAGAGGAACAAGAGAACGUAGGAAUACAUAAAGGAAUAAGGUCACAAAGGAACGGAGAUAAAGGAACGAGAAAAAGAAUGAAGGAAGAAAAGGGAACGAAGAAGAACGGAAGAGAGGAACAAGAGAACGUAGGAAUACAUAAAGGAAUAAGGUCUGAAAGGAACGGAGAUAAAGGAACGAGAAAAAGAAUGAAUUACCGAAGGGAGGAAGGAAGAAAAGGGAACGAAGAAGAACGGAAGAGAGGAACAAGAGAACGUAGGAAUACAUAAAGGACUAAGGUCACAAAGGAACGGAGAUAAAGGAACGAGAAAAAGAAUGAAGGCAGGAAAGGGGAAGAAAAGGGAACGAAGAAGAACGGAAGAGAGGAACAAGAGAACGUAGGAAUACAUAAAGGACUAAGGUCACAAAGGAAGGGAGGAAAAGGAACGAGAAAAAGAAUGAAGGAAGAAAAGGGAACGAAGAAGAACGGAAGAGAGGAACAAGAGAACGUAGGAAUACAUAAAGGAAUAAGGUCACAAAGGUAGGGAGGAAAAGGAACGGGGCUCACCUUUGGGUAUGGAUGGAGGGUCGUCAACCACUUCCUGUGCGGCGGGCUAACACACAAACACACACACUAACACGGCCCUUUGAGACAUUGGCACCACUGAUGAUGAUAACUUUUUUGGGGUGGGACAUUUGACAGUCAGCAACAUUGGCAACACUGAUUGGUUGGUUGGUUGUUGUUGGUGGUGGUAAUUAAAAGUUCGGUGUGUGACCUUUGACCUUUGCAACGUUUAUUAUUAUUAGUUUUUUUUCUUGGCCGGUUUUUUUUUUUUUUUGGUUGUGAGUUGUGUGUGGUGACCUCCUCUCUCUAUGUGUACACACACACACACACACACACACACACACACACACACACACAGAAAGACACACACACACACACACACACACACACACACACACAGAAAGACACACACACACACACACACACACACACACACACACAGAAAGACACACACACACACACACACACAGAAAGACACACACACACACACACACACACACACACACACACACACACACACACACACACACAGAAAGACACACACACACACACACACACACACACACACACACACAGAAAGACACACACACACACACACACACACACACACACACACACAGACAGACGGAGGAGGAGGAGGAGAACGGAGAUAGAGAAAGAGAUGGGAAGAAUGGAGAGAAGUGAGAAGGAGGGAGAGAAAGGAGAUAAACGGAGGAGAGAGAGAGGGAGUGGGAGGUAGUGUGUGAGAGAGGAGGCCGCCAUUGUUACACUCACAACCAUAUUGUUACAGGAGAGUUGGUUGGUGGUUGAAGGUUGGUUGAAGGUUCAGGUGGUGGUGGCGUCCAGUAGAGGUGGUGGUGGAGGUUGGUGGUGGUGGUGGUGGUGGGCGCCACAGGGAUAGGAUUGCAAUGAAAGGCUCAAGUCUUCCUCAAAUGUUACACUUGU